AUUUUUAAUAACAUUUUUUAUUUUCUUAUAUUAAUCGAAAAUUAAUUUGAUUAAUGUCCAAUUGAUUUAGUUACUAUACUGUAUCUGAACAAGAAAUAAAGAAUACGUUCAUAACCUUAAAAAAAGAACGCUUGAUAUUUAGGUUAAAAUGUUGCCGAAAUAUAGAAAAAAAAGUUAUAUCUUGGAUAAACUACAUCAUGGAUUUGUAAAACUUUGUAUGGGUGCUACAGUAAUUGGAGGAGUAGCUUUAGGAUAUAAAAUAUAUGUUUAUUUUCGAUAUAUAAAACCAGCAUUACGAGAAAUACAAAUGAAAAAUAAUGACGAUUUAUUAGAAGAAGGAAGAUAUAAACCGAUUGUUGGUUAAAAUUUAGUAAUAAGUUUAAAAUAUGUAGAAAAAUUGUAAUAAAAUAAUAGUUAAAAGUAAAAAAA